rnacentral:rRNA from 1 species
UACGUAGGGUGCGAGCGUUAAUCGGAAUUACUGGGCGCAAAGCGUGCGCAGGCGGUCUGUUAAGACCGAUGUGAAAUCCCCGGGCUUAACCUGGGAACUGCGUUGGUGACUGGCAGGCUUUGAGUGUGGCAGAGGGAGGUAGAAUUCCACGUGUAGCAGUGAAAUGCGUAGAGAUGUGGAGGAAUACCGAUGGCGAAGGCAGCCUCCUGGGCCAACACUGACGCUCAUGCACGAAAGCGUGGGGAGCAAACAGG